rnacentral:tRNA from 1 species
GGGGCUGUGGCUCAGUGGUAGAGCGUUUGCCUUGCAUGCAUGAGGCACUGGGUUCAAUCCUCAGCACCA